GUUCAUGAUCGAAAAUCAUAGUCCUCGAUUUUUCUAUUCGGUUGAAUAUUACUAGUUAGCUAGAACACUCAACAGUAAGCACAUAAUUUUAUCCGAUAAAUGAAUAAAUUUUCUACAUGAUUGUCUAAUUUUAAGUUCUCUUUUAUAUUUGAUUGUGUAUAAAAAAGGGUUCAAACAAAAAAGGUAAAACAAUGGCCGAUUAAAACAUUGACAUGUUACCCUAUUACUAUGUUACUGUUUAGGCAUAUGAUGUAUAUAUCGAUCCCGGUACCUAUUCUUGGUUUCUGUAAGAAGAUUACUAACUCCAAAAUAUCGUUAAAAUAGAUUUGGCGCCUGAGAUGACAAACAUAUCCUCAAUUCUAUAAUAUCCUUUUCCCCAGGGUAUUUAGUAUGUUGCUAAAAUCCGUGUCGUGGAUAUGAGAAUUGCGCGCCAAAUCGAAAUUGUUUGAAAGUGAAUAAAAUACAGGGAUUUGAAUGCAAAUUGAAUAGAUUGAUAUUUACCGACUUCAAAAUAUAUAUUUAAAUAUAUAAUGGUAAAUGCUCACCCUGGUCUGACCGCGAUAAAAUAUACCGAAAUAUACCGUUAAUAUACCGAUUAAGAACGAACUUUUUCAUUCGCUGUAAGCUCGCUGCUAAAUUAACAUACCUCUGUAACGAUAAUACGUUGAUUUUGAGUUUCGCACGUCUGCCUCUGAACACGAUCACCGCUGAAUGACGAGUGCUGGCGUUUAACUGUAGCCGCUAUUUAUUCGAAAUACAAAUGCUGCCUCUGCUCUCUUUCUGGCCGCCGGCAGUCGCUCGCUCGCGAGGCUUAUGUUUUGCUGAUUACAGCCCCUGAGGGACAGAGGGGGCGGAGCGAGAAAACAUGCCGUGCCCACCAACGGCUGGCUGGAGCGUUUUUUGAUAGGGGAUUUUUUGAUAAUACCUCAGGACCCUCAGCAGAUUCGUGCCCACGCCCCAUGACGUACGACAAAUUUUCCGUAGAGGCUGGGACUAUUCUCUCCCUCUCUAUCUGGCCCUAUGUUUUAUCAUUAACCACAGGUUUACGGUAAGUUUACGCGUAUACAAUUACGAGAUUUAGACCCCGUCCCACACAAGCAUUUGAAUUGACAGACAAUCUCAACGUAGUAUUUCCAACGCUACCUACAACACGCACACUUUAUCGUAAUACCCUCUAAAAUCAAAAAUUCAAUUUAUAAAUCAAUUUUAUCGGUUACUGAUUUUGAUUUGGUCUGACAUUUCUUUCGAUUGUGAUCCGACGCCCAAUAUUUGUGAUAAGCUAAAUACCAUGUCGCCGUGUCUAAGCUAUGGAAAUAUGGCUUGUUCUUGAAAAGAAAAAACUGACUAAUCGGCACAAUGCAAAGUUCUCAUUCCCUUUGUCCAGCCGCCACUGUCACUGCCACUGCACCAUAAAUGAUAUGAUUCAUUACAAACGACCAGUAUAUAGUACGCCAUUUCAGCAAUUGUAAGUAUCCCUUGAAUUAUUCACUGUUUGGGUCAAGUGUGUAGGCAAGAGAUAAGAAAAAAAGGCACUUCAUUCAAGAGAAACAGCCCUGCAAAGGCCCUACCACACACUAAAGAGGAAACCAAACGACUUCGUGACUCUGAAAACCAUCCUUAAAUAAUAUUUGUUAUUGAUAAACUUUAUUAAGUAUUUAUUUAUCAAAAGAGCAGACUUUUCUGUUGUGACUGUCUUUAACAUUAGAUUUUACCUGACAUGGGAAACAUUCAUAGACUUUAUACAAUUUAAAAAGAUCAAAAUCGUUAUUUUGACACAUCAUCAAAAACUUCAUAAGCAACUAAUAAAAUAUCAAAUGAAUGUAAAAAUUUUUGCACAUACGAUUUCUUAAGGCGAAAAACAUAAAUAUAGUUUGGCAUAGUAUUUUCUUUGAAAAAUAUACUAUUAAAUGAUACAAAAAGAAUGUAAAAUGGGCAUUUUUGUAAAUGAUAUAUCAAAUAUAUAUGGAAUAC